rnacentral:lncRNA from 1 species
GAAGUUGGUUGUUUUCAGCAGAUUAAAACAACACAGAAAAGGAGAUACCACUGGCCCUCCAUAUUCACAAGCUCUGCAUCUGUGGGUUCAGCCAACUAUGGAUCGAAAUAUGCAACUUCAUAUUAUCUUCAUUCAGGAGGGAGAACCCUGAGUUCUUCUGGGUUGGAUCUAAGCAUAUCAGCCCAAAAGGUUAUGCUGGGUUUCAUGAGCUGCAGAGGAUGACUGACUGGUGCCACCUAGAAAGACAAACAGCAGAAACUGCAGAGCUUGGACUGAGCUCAGACAAAAAUCUCUGCUGCUUGUACCCAGCUUGAAUAUUAUGGUCAACACUUGAAGAAGAGAAAGCAUCACUUAAAACAUUUUAAUUAUCCCCACAUGUAACAUGGGCCCUAAAUGUUCUGAACUGAAAACUUCACUAUCUAGUUGAAGGUCAAUGACACAAGUUUCAGAUAUUAAAGGUUUAAUUCCUGUCUUCCUCUUAAAAAAAAUGAAAAAAAAAUCAAAUAAAUCAUCAGUUGUGAGACAAAUUUCCUUGAUGACCAAAACCAUAGGGCUCUUUGGGCUUCCUUAACCCAGUUAGCAAGAAACACCUCAAAAUAGCAAUACAAAGCCAGGAUUGAAAAGAAUUUAAAGACCAUUACUGACAAAGUUCUUGUCAAAUAAAAGUUAUUUGAAAAUAAAAAUAAGGAUCUUUUUGAAAUUUUGGUAGCAGUUGCCACCUGUUCUCUCAGAAAAGUAACUGCUUUUACAGAAAACUAAAUAAUUUU